rnacentral:rRNA from 1 species
AUUGCCUUAGUAGCGGCGAUUGAAGCGGCAAAAGCUCAAAUUUGAAAUCUGGCACCUUCGGUGUCCGAGUUGUAAUUUGAAGAUUGUAACCUUGGGGUUGGCUCUUGUCUAUGUUUCUUGGAACAGGACGUCACAGAGGGUGAGAAUCCCGUGCGAUGAGAUGCCCAAUCCUAUGUAAGGUGCUUUCGAAGAGUCGAGUUGUUUGGGAAUGCAGCUCUAAGUGGGUGGUAAAUUCCAUCUAAAGCUAAAUAUUGGCGAGAGACCGAUAGCGAACAAGUACAGUGAUGGAAAGAUGAAAAGAACUUUGAAAAGAGAGUGAAAAAGUACGUGAAAUUGUUGAAAGGGAAGGGUUUGAGAUCAGACUCGAUAUUUUGUGAGCCUUGCCUUCGUGGCGGGGUGACCCGCAGCUUAUCGGGCCAGCAUCGGUUUGGGCGGUAGGAUAAUGGCGUAGGAAUGUGACUUUGCUUCGGUGAAGUGUUAUAGCCUGCGUUGAUGCUGCCUGCCUAGACCGAGGACUGCGAUUUUAUCAAGGAUGCUGGCAUAAUGAUCCCAAACCGCCCGUCUUGAAACACGAACA